UAUUGAUAAUAUAUACCUAUUAUGAGUUUUUCAUUUUUGAUAUUGUAUAGGUCCUAUUGAGUACAAUUAACAAUUUGAGUAUUUCAAUAUUUUAGCCUUUCUUUAUGUUAAAUAUGAGUAAGAAAAUGAACAAAUACAAUAUAUGUAUAUUUUACUUAAGCUCUAUUAAAUUACAUCCUGGAAUAUCUUUUCAUCAGAGUCCUUUCUAUAGAAGCCCAAACUUCAACAGCUAAAGUAAAUGCAGUCUCUAUAUUCAUAUCUGUCUUAGAACUAGUUUCAACAUAAGGAGCAUUCAAAUAUUCUGAACACCAUUCGUCUGCUUCAUCUUUAGAAACUACUCGAUCUUCAACAACAACAAAUGGAAAAUUCACAUCAGUUGUCCUGGAAUAUUGUAAGAAUUCUUUUUUCCAUGAUUCUACAGUUUUAAAACUUUGGACAUCGUCAACAGCAAAUGUCAGCAAACAAAUGUCAGUUCCUCUAUAAAAAGGAGUUCGCAAUGUUCGAAACCUUUCUUGUCCUGCAGUAUCCCAAAUCUAAAUGUAUUUAAAAAUUAAAAAUAUAAAAAUGUUUUAACGACA